UUUUCUGUAAUUAUUUUAUUUUUCUCGUCUUUGUUUGAUCAAAAAAUUAUAAAAUUGUACAAAUUUGAAGAUUUUAUGUGGAUUUUUAACAAAUAUUACUUUGAUGUAAUUCAAAUAUCACUUUCUAUCAUCCACAUCAAGUAGGAUUCGAAGCAAGGCCUCCAAAAUGGCGUCUCUUUCAAAAAUGAUGCAAUGGAUUACGUCAGUGAAAAUGCCUUAUAGAUCGUUUUCUAGGUUCAACUCAUAUUUUAUUAAUUAUUAAAUAGAAUUAUUGUACUUCAUAUUUUGUCGAAUAAUGGAUUAAUUUUUUAAUUACGUAUUUUAUUAUUAUUUGCAAAGGGAAAAGAAUCAUGUUUCAUUUGUACUUUUUAAUUAUAAUUAAAAAAAACCUGAGGAAACAGGUGUCACAUCUA
rnacentral:lncRNA from 1 species